rnacentral:rRNA from 1 species
AACGCGAAGAACCUUACCUGGAUUUGACAUGCAGCUGACCGCCACAGAAAUGUGGUUUUCUCGCAAGAGACGGCUGCACAGGUGCUGCAUGGCUGUCGUCAGCUCGUGCCGUGAGGUGUUGGGUUAAGUCCCGCAACGAGCGCAACCCUUGUCAUUAGUUGCCAGCAUGUAAUGGUGGGCACUCUAAUGAGACUGCCUAGGUUAACUAGGAGGAAGGUGAGGAUGACGUCAAGUCCGCAUGGCCUUUAUAUCCAGGGCUACACACGUGCUACAAUGGUCGGUACAGAAGGAAGCAAUACCGCGAGGUAGAGCAAAUCCGCAAAAGCCGGCCCCAGUUCGGAUUGUAGUCUGCAACUCGACUACAUGAAGUUGGAAUUGCUAGUAAUGGCGAGUCAGCUACAUCGCCGUGAAUACGUUCCCGGGCCUUGUA